AGCGAACGCUGGCGGCAGGCCUAACACAUGCAAGUCGAACGAACUCUUCGGAGUUAGUGGCGGACGGGUGAGUAACACGUGGGAACGUGCCUUUUGGUUCGGAAUAACUCAGGGAAACUUGUGCUAAUACCGAAUGUGCCCUUCGGGGGAAAGAUUUAUCGCCAUUAGAGCGGCCCGCGUCUGAUUAGCUAGUUGGUGAGGUAACGGCUCACCAAGGCGACGAUCAGUAGCUGGUCUGAGAGGAUGACCAGCCACACUAGGACUGAGACACGGCCCAGACUCCUACGGGAGGCAGCAGUGGGGAAUCUUGCGCAAUGGGCGAAAGCCUGACGCAGCCAUGCCGCGUGAAUGAUGAAGGUCUUAGGAUUGUAAAAUUCUUUCACCGGGGACGAUAAUGACGGUACCCGGAGAAGAAGCCCCGGCUAACUUCGUG
rnacentral:rRNA from 1 species